GGUCCUGGUCCAAAACAUCGACUGUGCUUUUUUUUUUACCACAGAUGCUGUCUGGCCUGAUGAGAUCAUCCAGCAUGUUGCAGAUGACUUCCAACAUCUGCAGAUUCUCUCUUGUCUGUGCUUCAGCAUCAGAAUCGUUCUCGUAAACCUCCUCUGGACCCCCUCCAGGUCCACAGGACUUCCAUUUAAGGCAGAGGAAGGUUUCGGAGAUGAAGAUAAUGACAUUAUCUUCAAAGAAAACAUCAAAAUCAGCCUGAAGAAAUCCGACAUUACAUCUAAAAACUGGGAAGACAGUGCACUCGAUAGCUACACCUGGAGGAAAUCUGUUCAAGAGGGAACUGCGCUACAUGAGGUCAACCACAGAGCAGCUGCGAGACAAAAAACUGAACAACCAAAAGAUCCAUCCGCUAGCCACAGUCAUCACUUCCACAUGGGCCCCAAAUCAGCCUCUUCAGCCACCCGAGGGUCAACCAACAAAAAAACCGCUUAAGAAGAGCAUUGUGUUCGACUCGAGGGGUCAAACACUACACUAUGUUCACUGUACGUUCUAUGUUCUUACCCUCGUACCUUCUACUCCCUUAUAGCUUUUAUUAGUUAUCCUCUGUUGCUUUUUAGGGGCUUCUCAAUCCUCUAACUAGAUCAGGAUCCGGUUUAAUAUCACCAGCAUAUGUUGUGAAAUUUGUUGUCUUUGUGGCAGCAGUACAAUGCAAAACAUAAUCAAAACUGUAAAUUAUGGUAAGAAGUUGUAUGAAAAGCUAAAUUA